UCAAUUCUCUCUUGCCACACGAAGAGAAUUCUCCUGCACACUUCGUGUGUUUGAUUCUACCCAUCCCUGUUGAACACAAGUCAUUUUCUUCCAUCGCACUCAUCUGGGUGUUUGCUCUUUUCCAUCCAAGCCAAAGAGUGACUUCAGUGUGCUCUGAACCGUGGACAGGAGAGUGUGUGUUUGUGUGCUGCGUGAACUAUUUUUCCUGCGUAAAACACUUUCCCGUACUGCACCAUCCGCGGUGUUCUUUUUGCUUCAUCGGAGGACGAAUUUUUAUCAUUUAAUUGUAUCGAUGUGUGCUGCUACCGCUAGCUGUUCUCCAAAUCUCUUUAAAAUGCGACACUGUGUGCACAGGCGUUCAAGGUUCAAUUGAUCCUCAAGCACAAAGCCUUCAUACAACACCGCGGUUGAGGCGCGCCAAAUCUGAUGACAUCUUUCCUGAACCAAGCAGGCUGAACACGCGCACCACCACGGGCGCCAGCGCGGUGUGAAGAGGGAA